GACGAACGCUGGCGGCGUGCUUAACACAUGCAAGUCGAACGGUGACGCUGGAGCUUGCUCCGGCUGAUCAGUGGCGAGCGGGUGAGUAACACGUGAGCAACCUGCCCUUGACUCUGGGAUAACCCCGGGAAACCGGAGCUAAUACCGGAUACGAACCGCACGGGCAUCUGCGCGGUUGGAAAGCUUUAUCGGUCAAGGAUGGGCUCGCGGCCUAUCAGCUUGUUGGUGGGGUAACGGCCCACCAAGGCGACGACGGGUAGCCGGCCUGGGAGGGCGACCGGCCAGACUGGGACUGAGACACGGCCCAGACUGCUACGGGAGGCAGCAGUGGGGAAUAUUGCACAAUGGGCGAAAGCCUGAUGCAGCGACGCCGCGUGAGGGACGAAGGCCUUCGGGUUGUAAACCUCUUUCAGCAGGGAAGAAGCGAAAGUGACGGUACCUGCAGAAGAAGCACCGGCUAACUACGUGCCAGCCGCCGCGGUAA
rnacentral:rRNA from 1 species